UUUGAUAAGGGGAGUCUUUCUUCCCUAAUCUGCUUUUUGGAUUUGCUCAUUUGUCUAGCCACAUAUAUAGUACGUGUACGUGGUGGCAAAGUGCUUGGGCACUGCAAUCAGUCUCCUGGGUUUGCACCCCAGCUCCGCCACUUGACAUGUAGGCUGGGGGAAGCCACAUCACUUUUAUGUGCUUUGGUUUUCUCACCUGGAAAAUGAGGAUAAUCAUAUGCUCUCUUGUUAGUGUUAUCAUGGGGUGAAGAUGAGGCAAUGCCAAGUAUAGUGCCGCGUACAGAGCCUGGAGCAAGGUAAGCACCCAAGAAUGCGAACUGCUACUAUUGUGGUCAUGAUUUUCUAGCUUGUAGCAGAACUACUACUUAUUUAGAUCAUGGCAUCUAAAAAUACAUUUCCUCAAAUAUCAAAAGAGCCAGGACCAGAAUCUUGGCCUCUGGCCUCAAAGAUAAUGCCUUUUCCCGGCAUUUCCCCUGGACAGGCUGGGAAACAUCGCACCACAAAAUCUACACUCUUUCAAUCCUAAAAGAGUUUAAAAAGGUAAAGAAGUACAUGGGUGAUUUUGGAUCAAUUUUCCAUUUGAAACAGCUCAGCAAACAGCCGACUACGCCUAAUGGGCCCUUGAAAUGCUCUCUUUUAUGAAAUUCCAGAUGUGAAAAAGGACACACUACAAAAUCAGCUGGUGUGUUCAUCUCAUUCUGAGAAUCAGGCUGAAGGAACAACCUCUAUCUGGAACAUGCUUUACAUAUCAGAAGGAGAAGAAAGAAAGCAGGGAAAGAAAACAGGCAUCAUGAUGGCAACUAAAGGGUGAUGAGCUUGUUUCCCACUUCACUGGAAAACAAAAUGGGAAUAUUCAGAAGAUAAGUUCCACAGCUCCCAUAGCAUCUUCCUAUCUACCAGGAUUUGGACCUUCUACACCCUGCUCCCAUUAAGGAAUUAGCCUUGCUCUUGUCCAAAACUAGCCUUUGCGUAUGCCUUAGAUCCUAUCCCCCUUGCUUGCUCACAGGCUUUGCUCCAGCAAUUCUCCCUAUUUUUCCCCUAUACCAUCAGCUUCCUCUCUCUACUAGGUCAUUUCCACCAGCACACAACAAUACUGUCUCUCUCAUCUUAGAAAUGGAAACUAACAAAAUUGAGUUCACUUUUCCUUCUGACACUAUCCCUUUUCUACCUCCCCCACUUUACAGCAAAACUCUUUGAAAGCUGCCUGAAUUUCACUGCUUCCAUUUCCUCUCCUCUUCUCACUUAAACCUACUGCUGCCAGAACCGGGACUCCACCACCUCACCAGACCCCUGCUUGUCAAUAUCAUCAAUGACUUCCAUCUUGCUAAAUCCAUUUCUUGUCCCCAUUGAACUUGACCCUCAGUAACACCUUGUCAAAUUAACCACUCCCUUCUCAUGGAAAUGAUUUCUUGUUUUCUAAGACACUACACAUUUCGUUUUCCUUCAACACCCCUGGAUGCUGCUUCCCAGUCUUGUCCCUUAACCUCCUAGCACUGAAGUGAUGCAGGGCUCAGUCCACAGAUCUCUUCAUCUUUCCUGUUCACUCCAUACUCACCCUCUUGGUAAUUCCCUUCCAGUUUCAUCGUUUAAAUGGCAUCUGUCUGCAAAUGAUUAUCAAAUGUAUGCCUCCAGCCAUGGCCACUGCUCUCAACGUUAGCUUAUCCAUCUAACUGUCAACUCUGUAUCUCUACCUGGACGCCUGAUGGAGGUCUCCAAUGUACCAUGCCCUAAACUGAAAUUUUGAUCUUCUUUAUCCACAGAAUCUGCUCGACCCUAUCUCAGUUAAAGGCAUAUGUUACUAAAGCCAAAGUCAGCAAAGAAGGAGCCUCCAUGCUUGGAAACAACCCAGCUAACUGCCAUCUGUGUGGUAGCUUGAGUGUGGAUUGAAGAACGGAGAGUCAGGAUUCUAGGGGAGAGUGGAACCAAUGGCUGGGCUGGAACCUGCAUGCCAGCACCUCCCCCACAUGCUGUUGGUCAAGCCAGAUUCAAGAGAUGGGGAAACAGACUCCGCCUCUGGAUGCCGCAAAGUCCCACGGCAAAGGGCAGGAAUAUAGAGCAUCAGGCUGCAAAUUUGAACACGAGCUUCCACAUGGUCAUCACAAAGAGGGAAAUACAGACAGCUUCGUGGCUCAUAAUUUCAAAAGAUAAAAAGAAAGAUGUCAUUUAGAAGCACACCUGUUCCUAGUACUCAGUCCUUGGAGGAUUCUCUUGCUGACUGAAAAGGGGGAUGAUCAUUCAUACCAUGACAAAAUGGCAGAAAAUGUGCAACUCCAAGACCAAGAAAACGUGAAGAGGCUGUGACUACCUCCAUGUGAGAAACAUCUGAGUUCCUCCUGAUCCUAAGACCUCCCCACAAUGUAUGUAUGAUAGCAAUUUCCUCUGACAGAGCAGUGAAUUUGAUGAUAGUGCAUCGAUUGCUGUAAAUUGUCUGCUGGGUUACCUGUUCCUACCACCUUAGAGCACUCACAGCUCAGUGACUGUGGAAGUCAGCUUCCAAGAUGUUCCCCUAUGAUCCUCCCCUCCUUGUAUUCACAUCUGUAAAGAUUCCUCCCACAAUGAAUCACAGUUUCGUUUUGUGACCAACAGAAUACAGCAGAAGUAAGGAAAUGUGACUUCCAAGGCUAAUGAAUAAAAGGCUUUGCAGUUUUCUCCUUGGUCAGUUGGAAGCCACCUGCCAUGGACACUCAAGCAGUUCUGUGGAGAGGCUCAUGAGGGAAAGAACUGAGGCCCCUCCACCAACAUCCAGCACCAACUUGUCAGCUGUGUCUGUGAGCCAUCUAGGAAUGAGACCCUCCUGAAGCCCUGGUGAAGCCUUCAGAUGACCGUAGCCCCAGCCAACAUUUGGCUGCAGUCUCAUGGCAGGCUCCAAGCCAAACCCUACCAGUGAAUUUGCUACCAAAUUCCUGACUCAUGGAAACUGUGUGUGUAAUAAAUGUUUAUUGUAUGAUAAAGCCACUAAAUUUAGGAGUAAUUUCUUACACAGCAAUAGAUAACUAGUAGAGUCACUUUGCAUCUCUUAGGGUCUAUGGCAAAUGACACAUAAUGAAUAGAGAAAUUGGAACAGACAACUGGUUGUCUGUUUCAGUACAGAAACUGGUUGGUAUUAAGAGUGACAAUUUUUAUUAUAGUUCAAGCUAUAGUACUGUAUGUUCUUGAAUAAACUAUGCUAAUCUAGGCCAUCCAAAGACUUCCCAAAAUGUAUGGUGAGAAUAACAUUUCCAAGAUACUAAACCAAUGUUUGUAGCUCCUGAUAAUUCCUAAUUCCUGGUUGCCCCAAGCCACCACCUGCCCCAACUAAAACAAAAGAAUUGAUCACAUCAUAAUAAAAUUAGAACCUUCAAAGAACAGGCACUGAUCUCUUGGAAUUUUUAUUUUAAACUUAAGUUUACAUGACAAUCUGCUUCCACUUACAUGAUAAUCUGAAAGCAUAUGUUGAAAUGGCAUGGUUCUUGGUUGCAGAAAACAGAAAUGAAAUCUACCUAAGCAGAAAUUAAAAUUAUAGGAGGGAUAUUGGGAGCUCAUAACAUCCAGAGGCUGACUAAACAAACAGACUUCAACGUCAAAAGCAGCCCCCACCCUGGAGGCUAGGGAUCUAUGAGAGCAAAUUGAACAUCUGAUCUCUCAGCUCUCACCAAACUCACACCAUGGCAGAACCUUCACGAAGGGAGGAAGAGACUCAGAUGCUGAACACAAGGAGAG
rnacentral:lncRNA from 10 species